GACGAACGCUGGCGGCGUGCUUAACACAUGCAAGUCGAACGGAAAGGCCCUGCUUUUGUGGGGUGCUCGAGUGGCGAACGGGUGAGUAACACGUGUGUAACCUGCCCUUGACUUUGGGGUAACUUCAGGGAACAGGGGCUAAUACCGGAUAGGAGCUCCUGCUGCAUGGUGGGGGUUGGAAAGUUUCGGCGGUUGGGGAUGGACUCGCGGCUUAUCAGCUUGUUGGUGGGGUAGUGUCUUACCAAGGCUUGGCCGGGUAGCCGGCCUGGGAGGGUGACAGGCCACAUUGGGACGGGGAUACGGCCCGUACGGCUACGGGAGGCAGGAGGGGGGGCUAUAGCACAAAGGGCGGGAGCAUGAUGCAGCAACGCCGGGUGCGGGAGGUCGGCCUUCGGGGUGUAAACCGCUUUCGCCUGUCACGAAGCGUGAGGGCCGGUACUGGGUAAAGAAGCACCGCCAACUUACUG
rnacentral:rRNA from 1 species